rnacentral:rRNA from 1 species
UUUGGUGAUGAUGCAGAGAGGUCACACCCGUUCCCAUACCGAACACGGAAGUUAAGCUCUCUAGCGCCGAUGGUAGUUGGGACCUUGUCCCUGUGAGAGUAGGACGUCGCCAAGC